CGACUCUCGGCAACGGAUAUCUUGGCUCUCGCAUCGAUGAAGAACGUAGCGAAAUGCGAUACUUGGUGUGAAUUGCAGAAUCCCGUGAACCAUCGAGUCUUUGAACGCAAGUUGCGCCCGAGGCCAUCCGGCUGAGGGCACGCCUGCCUGGGCGUCACGCCUCGCGUCGCUCC
rnacentral:rRNA from 1 species